UUUGAAUAGGUUCCUAUGCCACACACACGGCUGGAAGGACCUGAAAUUCCUGCCCCUGCCUUGAAAUAAUACGGGCAGAGGAGAACAAGGUUUCCAGCCCCAGACCACCAGAGACUAAAGGACUCACCAAGAAGUUCACAGGUAUCUUCUCUGCAACAGGAGGGAGAUGUCACAGACUCAUCCUCCUGGGAGGUUUCAUUGCUCACCAGCCCCAAAGUUAGGCUCCUUCCCAGGAUUCAUGUUCUUCUCCAGUUCUGCCCACCUCCUUAGUCACACACUGGAACUCACCUUCAGCCAUGGAGCAGCAAGGAGGAUGCUCUAUGCCUGCUGCUGUCUGGACAGACAAUCUGUCCUGUUACAGUAGUAAGCAAGCUACUACUAGCCUGUAGGUUCUAAGAAAUACUUGCACAAUCACAAAAAAAAAAAAAAAGGAAAAAGAACAAACUGAGUUCACUUCAAUCACCUACAAAAGAAAGGACUGACCCAACCCUUUCCUUCCUGCCAUCCACCUUUCUUCAACCUUGCCUCUUCCAAGUACAGAGCCAAUUGUCCAAGAACCUCAUGAAGAAAGGACACAGAACUGCCAUGCCUCUCCUUGUGGGAAGGACAUGGGAGAACAAACAGAACAUGGCACACAUCAGUCAUGCUGCUCACACAUAACUAGAUGAAGUUUGACUAUGGAGACUCAAUGUUGAGAUGUAACCAUGAACAUCAGGAGGUUGAGAGGACUGCGUGCAUUAGAGCCCUGUAUGCCCUGAGCCUCAGCAGUGAGUGCUGGACAGAAUGCUGCCCAGGGAUGCAGCUGAGGCACACAAGAUUG
rnacentral:lncRNA from 1 species